ACAGAAGGAGGAUGGGCCUUAGACAGACAUCACUCUUUAGAAUCCCUGCAACUUUGAGCAAGUUCGUGAAUCUCACUAAGGCUCAGUUUCCUCCAUAAAAUUAAUCAAUAUCAGGGCCUCUGCAUUGGACAACUCCAGAGGGCACCAUUGGGGUUAUACCUUGUGUUUGCCUAACCUUCAUUGCAGUGGGCAGGUGCAUGCUUUCUACAAUGUCCUAAGGUCUAAAGGGGUAGAGUUCUGUGUGUGGCAUUUUAGGCCUGGAAAGGAUGAGAGUCUACAAAACCAGAGAAAUACUGCAGAGAUCCCAGACCACCACCCAUGAUCCCAGGCUGGAGGAAGCAGCAGGCUAGCGGAAUUCAGGACCAAUGAGCCAGGAAAGAGGUACUGGUGAAGACUUCCUGGAGGCAGUGACACUUGAGCUUGUCCUUACAGGUAAUAAAGAAAACACACUUUACAAAAAGGCAGUUCAUCUAUGAACAUAUUGGCUAGGAUAACACAUCUUAGAGCUAAAUGUGUCACUGUAAAUGGACUCAUUUUAUAUCUCCACAUACUGUAGAUGUUUAAAAAAAGGUACAUGCACAGAAACUAUGGGAACUGAACUGGAGUAUGAGCCAAUUACCCUAGACUUUGCUGUAAUCUGACUUUUGUGUAGCACAUUUUCUUUAGCAUUUUUCUUAAUGGGGGAUGGGGAGUGGAGGCAAAGGAGACAAACUGACAGCAGAGCAUUUUAUUUAGACAAAAGAAAUAUAUUCAGCCUGUCUUAAAUUAUUUGUCAUUAUAAUGACGUUUUCUAAUUUAAAAG
rnacentral:lncRNA from 10 species